GGAGAGGAGGAGGGCGUAACUACCUAGGACCACGCCAGAGACCGCGUGGGGAAAAAUCGCUUCCCAAGUCAACGCGUGCAAUCCAAAAAAGGACCUGGAAGCAGCUAAAAAUGAAAUAUAAAAACAGUGAAAAAAGGUAUGGCAUAUAUUGCUAUGAUUGCACCUUACUUUAAUUCAUUUUCUUUAAUUGACUUUGGCUAUUAAACAAAGUAAGUUAAUUCAGUGGCUACUUGAAAUAGUAAAUUAAACCCCUAAUAAAAUGUCGUUUUUAC
ensembl:lncRNA